GACGUAGGGCGCGAGCGUUGUCCGGAUUUACUGGGCGUAAAAGGUGCGUAGGCGGCGCGGUAAGUCGGGUGUGAAAUCUCGGAGCUUAACUCCGAAACUGCAUUCGAUACUGCCGUGCUUGAGGACUGGAGAGGAGACUGGAAUUUACGGUGUAGCGGUGAAAUGCGUAGAUAUCGUAAGGAAGACCAGUGGCGAAGGCGGGUCUCUGGACAGUUCCUGACGCUGAGGCACGAAGGCCAGGGGAGCAAACGGG
rnacentral:rRNA from 1 species